GACGAACGCUGGCGGCGUGCUUAACACAUGCAAGUCGAACGGAAAGGCCCUGCUUUUGUGGGGUGCUCGAUUGGCGAACGGGUGAGUAACACGUGAGUAACCUGCCCUUGACUUUGGGAUAACUUCAGGAAACUGGGGCUAAUACCGGAUAUGAGCUCCUGCUGCAUGGUGUUGGUUGGAAAGUUUCGGCGGUUGGGGAUGUACUCGCGGCUUAUCAGCUUGUUGGUGGGGUAGUGGCUUACCAAGGCUUUGACGGGUAGCCGGCCUGAGAGGGUGACCGGCCACAUUGGGACUGAGAUACGGCGCAGACUCCUACGGGAGGCAGAAGUGGGGAAUAUUGCACAAUGGGCGGAAGCCUGAUGCAGCAACGCCGCGUGCGGGAUGACGGCCUUCGGGUUGUAAACAGAUUUCGCAUGUGACGAAGAGUGAGUGACGGUAAUGGGUAAAGAAGCAACGGCUAACUACGUG
rnacentral:rRNA from 1 species